GACGGGGCCCGCACAAGCGGAGGAACAUGUGGUUAAUUCGAUGAUACGCGAGGAACCUUACCUGGGCUUAAAUGCAGAGUGCAUGGAGUGGAAACACUUCUUCCCUUCGGGGCUCUUUGCAAGGUGCUGCAUGGUUGUCGUCAGCUCGUGCCGUGAGGUGUCGGGUUAAGUCCCAUAACGAGCGCAACCCUUAUCGUUAGUUGCCAGCGGGUAAAGCCGGGAACUCUAGCGAAACUGCCGGUGUAAACCGAGAGGAAGGUGGGAUGACGUCAAAUCAGCACAGCCCUUAUGUCCAGGGCGACACACGUGUUACAAUGGCCGGUACAGAGGGCAGCUACCUGGUGACAGGAUGCAAAUCUCCAAAACCGGUCUCAGUUCGGAUCGAAGUCUGCAACUCGACUUCGUGAAGCUGGAUUCGCUAGUAAUCGCGCAUCAGCCAUGGCGCGGUGAAUACGUUCCCGGGCCUU
rnacentral:rRNA from 1 species